CCAUGCAGCUUAAUAGAAAUAAAAGACAUGUAUAUUUUUCUAUACAUGUAUAAGAUAUAUGAUAAGUCUUUAUACAGCGAAUUCCCAAGUUCCUGUGAUUGUCUUGUAAGUGAAACUUUUAGCCCCACUUAAAGUCACUGUAAUGAUUCCAUACAUCAAUAAAAGAUAAUUUCAUUUUGAUGAAAAUUAUCAUUAUCAUUUUUUGAGUUAUUUUUUUUUUUAUUACUUUUACAUAUAAAAGACAAUUGAGGUAUGUUAAUAUGUUUUUUUAGAAAGACAAUCAAAACUCUGCCCCACUUAAAGUUUAAAGCAAGCCAAAGAUUUAGGUAUUAUUCUUUGCUGCUGUGUUAUUUAAUACAUUCCCAUGACAUGACAGAAACAUGGAUAUAGAUCGCAUAAACUUGAUCAAUAUUUGAUGUAUACUUGCAUUUUGAAUUUUUAUUGAAAUGAAUGCUGUGAUAAAACUGUUUUUUAUUAUUAUUUAUUUUUGUUGUUUUUGUAAUUUAGCUAGUGUCUGAUAUUCCGGUUUUGUGGGAUAUGAAAUAAUUUUGAUUCUACAAUAAAUAUUUAGACAUUAUUAUAACACAUUGAACUGCAAUGUUGCAUCAUUUUAACCAAAUAAAGGAAAUUUAGAAAGC
rnacentral:sRNA from 1 species